rnacentral:misc_RNA from 1 species
UUUCCAUAGGUGAACCUGCGGAAGGAUCAUUAUUGUAUAACCGAGGUGCGAGGGCUGUCGCUGACCCGAAAGGUCGUGCACGCCCGAGUGCCCUCACACACAUCCACCUCACCCCUAUGUGCACCACCGCGUGGGUCCCCCUUUGGCUUGUUCGGAGGGGGGCUUACGUUUUCACACAAACUUUGUAUGCAGUGUAGAAUGUAUUUUUUGUUUUUGCGAUCACGCAAUCAAUACAACUUUCAACAACGGAUCUCUUGGCUCUC